rnacentral:lncRNA from 1 species
AAAUCCUUGUUGCUUAUCUAUUUUAUAUACAGUAGUUUGUUAUCUGUUAAUCUCAUACUCCUGAUUCUCCCUACCCUCCAACUUUUCCCUUUGGUAGCCAUAAGUUUGUGUUCUAUGUCUGCAAGUCUAUUUCUGUUUAUUAUAUAAAUUCAUUCACAUUAUUUUUUAGAUUCCACAUAUAAAUGAUUGCAUAUAAUAUUUGUCUUUCUCUGUCUGACUUAAUAUUCUCUAGGUCCAUCCAUGUUGCUGCCAGUGAGGAUAUUUCAUUCUUUUUAUGGCUAAUAUUCCAUUGUGUAUGUGUGUAUGUGUGUACAUGGAUUGUUUCUAUGUCUUGGCUAUUGAAAACAUUUUAAAUUUGAUUAAUAAGAUUUCCUGUUGUGGCUCAACGGUAACGAACCUGACUAGUACCCAUGAGAAUGCAGGUUCGAUGUCUGACCUCACUCAGUGGGUUAACGAUCCGACGUUGCCAUGAGCUGUGGUGUAGGUUGCAGACAUGGUUCAGAUCUCACAUUGCUGUGGCUGUGGUGUAGGCUGGCGGCUGGAGCUCCCAUUUGAACCCCCUAGACUGGGAACGUCUAUACGCCAUGGGUGAGGCCCUAAAAAAGACUAGAUAAAUAAAUAAAUUUGAUUGAGUGAUAGCAUCUCACAAAGAAGAUAAAACAGCACAACAUAUUUACUUCAAAAUGUAAUUUUUACAUGAAUUCAAUGACAAAAUUAGCCUAUCUUGGGCUGCUUUGAGGUUUCUCGGAGCUACCACAACUUCCAAGCCCCUCUUCUGAAUAUGAAACACCCUCUCCUCAUCUCCUAACCCAUCUGGCAGUUGGAAUAUUCAUGAGCCACUUCUGCAAACACCAACCAGGCCUCUUUCCAUCCAGACUCCUAAACCCACUUCUGAAGCAUCCCUUCCGGUCACUAGAAGACUCGUAAAUGUCAAACCUAAUGGCCAGUUUUCAGUCCUUAUCCUACCUCAUCUUAUCUCAGCAUCUGACUUGGAGGACCACACUCUUUUGACUAUUAUUCCCUUAACUUUCACACAAGUACCUUUUCCUCAUUCUCUUGCCUCUUUUACAGCCUCUUCUUAGUCUGCUUUAGGAGCACCUCCUCUGUCCUUGUCUUCAAGAAACCUCCACCCCCACAAGCUUAUUGUCACUCUCUAAGCUCCUCCUAGGUGCCAAUUCAACUGCCACAAGUUCAUCUGUCAUCUAAUUACUCUCAAAUCUCUGUUUCUAACCCUGAUCUCCUCCUAAGAUUUAAGGUCAAAACCUACAGGUCAGCCUCUUGGGAUAUUCUGCAGACAAGUUGAUUAUCAAAACAGAGCCCACCUUCUCUUGAACCCCCCAGCCCAGUCCAUUCUUCCUACUUUUUCUGUCUCCAUUAAUAGAAAUAAUUCUUCCUGACUUUUCCCUUCCUCACCUGUUUAUCUAAUUGAUCACCAAGCUUUGUCAGUUCUCCCUCUCCUGUAUCUCCUCCUCUCCUGUAAUUACAUUCAUGCCUCUAUCUGGAUUACUAUUUUCCCACUAUAACUACUUAUGUUAAAAAUCCAGUUCAAGGGAGUUCCCUGGUGGCCCAGCAGGUUAAGGAUCCAGCACUGUUACUGCUGUGGUGUGGGUUCCAUCCCUGGCCUGGGAACUUACACAUGCCAUGGGUAUGGCUGGGGGAAAAAAAAAAAAAAAAAGAUCCAGUUCAAAAGUCAAGUUCUUGAAAAAGUUUCCUCUUAACCUCCCAGGCAAUUAGUUGCUUCUUCCUCCUUUUUUUCUCAAGCAUACAUUUUUUUCUCAACAUAUCCUUAUUGCAGUUUAUACAAUCAUAAAGUAUCAUAUAAUUUUUAUUGAUAUAGGUGUCUUCUAAGCCAGGACUAUCCACUGCCACAUAAUACAUGCCCAAUAAAUAUUUGCACAGGGAAAUAGUUACUUCUCCAAAUCUCUGCAGUGAGUUGGAGACUUAGAGGUGGCAGGCUCACCAAGGAUUUUCGCUGUCAGAACAACUGUAAUUGUUAUUAUCUGGUUGUACUUUUGCUCAUAUUCUCUAUACUGGAACUCUUCCUGCCUUUCUGUUUAGCUCCCUUCUUAGAAGUCUGUCCCCUAAGUAAGCAAGAGAAAAGAAUACCAGGUUGACACAGUUGGACACCUUCUUUCCCCCUCCCCAAUCAAUAAUCUAUAGGCACUUAAAUGUAACAUGACUAUGUGAUAUGAUGUAAGUUUUCAUCCUUUGUAAUUCUGAUCCUUUUUCAACUCAGAAAAGGCUACAGUGUAGGAGACCUGGAGUUUGAGAAGCAAGCUCUGGUCUAAUCUAGGGAAGAAAUGAUUCCACCACUCUGAGCUUCAGUUUCUCCUCCUCUUCAUCUUCUUCUCCUUCUCCUCCUCCUCCUUCUUGUUUUGGUUGGCCAUGACUAAAGCAUGCAGAAGUUUCCAUUCAGAGAUCAAAUUGGCACCACAGCAGUGACCUGAGUCACUGCAGUGACUAUGCUGGAUCCUUAACCUGCGGCGCCACAAGAGAACACCCAGUUUCUUCCCUUGAAAAUGGCUUGGAGUAAGACAUUUAUAAAUGGCUAGCACAAUGUAUAAAUAUGUAGCAGUUAUUCAUUUAUGCAACAAAUAUUCACUGACUGCUUAGUAUUAAGUAAUGUGCUAGGUGCAGGUAUAUAGCCCUCAAUAAAAACAUGAGUUUGUUUUCUUGUGUGUUUUAGACUUUUUAAAAAAAAUUCUAUAUAGCACUGUUUCCUCCCCACCACAUCCCCUCUUGACCAAAAUAGUUUUUCUCUGAAUUCCUCCUUUAAGGUCUGCUAAGUAGCAUGGAGUAGUGGUUAACAGCAUGAGCUUUAAACCAGACUUUCAAGGCUUGAAUGCCAGCUCUAGAACCUUUUAACUGUGAGACUUCGGGUAAGUUGCUUAACUUCUUGAUGUUUUUCUUUCUGCAUUGUUUAAGUGCAAAAAAAAUACCUACUCCAUUAGAUUGUUAUAAAGAAUAAAAUAGCUAAUAACACUUAAAAUGUUAUCUGGCACUAAGUAAAGUGCUUAAGAAAUGGUAGCUAUUAUUAUUUACAACCUGCAGUUCAUACGAUGCUUACCUUGCCAUGGAAAUCAUUUCAUGAUAAAAUAUAAGAAAGAAAUUAAAGAUCUCAUUUCUCACUUAUUUUCCUUUAAAUAACUCUGCUUAGAAGUUUUCUUACACACCUGCACUGUCUUGCCUCAUGAAUCCACCAAGUGUUUGAAAUGUUGCUGAUUGGAAGAGUAGGGUUUCAAGUAUAAAUCAAACCAUAUUUUUAAAACUUAGAGGAUGGAUAUCAGUGAAAACAAAAUAAGGAA